rnacentral:rRNA from 1 species
CCCUUAGAUGUCCUGGGCCGCACGCGCGUUACACUGAUGCAUUCAUCGAGCUUAUAACCUUGGCCGAGAGGCCUGGGCAAUCUUGUUAACGUGCAUCGUGAUAGGGAUAGAUUAUUGAAAUUAUUAAUCUUGAACGAGGAAUUCCUAGUAAACGCAGAUCAUCAAUCUGCAUUGAUUACGUCCCUGCCCUUUGUACACACCGCCCGUCGCACCUACCGAUUGGAUGGUCCGGUGAAGCCUCGGGAUUGUGGUUCUUGCCGCUUUAUUGUGGCGUGACCGCGAGAACUUGUCUAAACCUUAUCAUCUAGAGGAAGGUGAAGUCGUAACA